rnacentral:tRNA from 1 species
GGGUGUGUAGCUCAGUGGUAGAGCACCGGUCUCCAAAACCGCAGACGAGGGUUCGAUUCCCUACUCACUCGCCA